ACCGAGUGGGAGAGAUACGAGUGGAGUGCAUUGCUUUCAUUUUUGUUAUUUUAUGUUUCUUUCUCCGCAUCUUCUUUCUGCUUUUAGUUCUUUAUUCUUCUUUCUUCCUUCCUCUUCCUUAUAUCUCGCCGUUCCUGAAGCAAAGCUGAGAGUGAAAGUUGAGACUUGAGAAAUAUGAGAGGAAUAGAAAGUUGAGAGCAGAGAAUAAGAUUAAGAGUGAGAGACAGAGAGCUAAGAUGAAGUGAAACAGGCCGGCAGUGAGGGAUCCGAAGCAAGCCCGAACCCAGUGUUACCCAUAACCCCGUGAACCCAGAAUCGCCGGACCCAGACUUGUUUUCCGGUGAAGGCCGUAUGGCACGAACCCGAACACUUCAGACCCGAUGUCGGUCCUCUCCGGCUUAAGCCUUAGUCUACCCGAACUUCACGAAGCUGAGUACGGCGUUAUCCCAGUAGAUCGGCCAGCAGCUCUGCACUCAGUGCCACGAUCCGUCAACUACACGUCAAGCCUCCAUCACCAUCCAGCCAACCUAGUGGACCUGUGAGCCCAAACCCGUCAGCCCAGCAAUGAACCCAGCAACCCAGAACCGGAAACCCCAACCCAGAAGACUCAUGGGCUGACCCAGCCCAUCCCAACAGCCCAUUAAACCCAGCAGCACAACCAAGCCCAAGACCACCGUGACCCAUUGAACCGAGCCCAUAACCCGAAUCCAGCAAAACCCAGACCCGGUCCACGAACCAACCCAAACAGUGACCCAAACCCGGAGACCCGACCCGUCGGUGACCCGUCUCCGGCAGACUUCCGGCGACUCUCCGGUGACUUUUCCGGCGACUUUCCGGUGACUUUUCCGGCGACUUUCCGUGACCGAACUCCCUGUUUUCAUUGGAUUUUCUAGUGAAAAUUCUUAAUAUAAUAAACCAAGAAACUAUACAAAGAGAGUAAAGCUCGAUCCCGAUGCUAAUGGGAAAUCCAAGUUAUGAACAGAGAGACGUAGGUGGCCGGGAUGGGAUCUAGGAAUGCAUUAGAACAUUUCAUUUAUGUUACCCUAAUAAGUGCACUUGCACAAAAACUUUAGUUUUCUUUAAAUUCUCAGUUAUUGUAUAUUUUAUAAUUAAAUUUUCUAAAUAACCGUUUCCGCAUUUAUUAAAAA